CAAGCAGCCAGCGAACCGCCCGGGCUUCGGGGUGGGGGCGGAGAGGGGUGUGCGGAGGAGGCCCGAUUUCUAGCAGUCUUAGCUUCAAAUUCGAAAUCAGGACCUGUUUGGGGGCGUCACUUUGAGAGGGUUCCUCGGCUCUCUCUAAUUCCGGGAGCUCUCCCUCCCUCCCUCCUCCCUCCCUCGCAAAUGCCCCCAGGGCUGGACGGGCGGCGUGCGGGGCGCUCCGAGGCGCGCUCCCACGCGCGCACACCCAGCCCCCAGGCUCCCCCCUUUCUUCUCGCACUCGCUUCCCCACGCCCAGACUGCGUUCGUCUCCUCCCCCGGAGGGGCCGGGGCUCGGAAGCCCCUCUCCGAGGCGCGACUUGGGUUUAGUUCCCUCAGGGGCUGAGGAGCUGUCCGUGAGGUACGUCGGCCUCGUGCCCUGAGGAGAAACUGGAGACGCCGGUCUCUGCUCUCUCCCGCCGCUACGAUGCCGCGCCGGGUCCUGCCAGCCUUUGCGCGAGGAGUGUGAGCGGGAACGGCCCCGACCUGCCCCUCAGAAGCCUGAAACCAAGGCAAUACUAAAGCAAAAGUCUGAUUUCAGCCGUCUCCGCCCCUCAGAGAUUCUCUUUCAACUCCCUCCAGGAGUGAGAGAGCACAAGGAAGGCAGAGGGAGAUGGAAAGAGAGA